GACGAACUGUGCAAACGUUGUUCGGAUUCACUGGGCGUAAAGGGUGCGUAGGUGGUGAGGUAAGUCUGAUGUGAAAUCUCCGAGCUCAACUCGGAAAUGGCAUUGGAAACUACUUGGCUAGAGGAGUGGAGGGGGGACUGGAAUUCUCGGUGUAGCAGUGAAAUGCGUAGAGAUCGAGAGGAACACCAGUGGCGAAGGCGAGUCCCUGGACACUUCCUGACGCUGAGGCACGAAAGCUAGGGGAGCAAACAGG
rnacentral:rRNA from 1 species